CCUACGGGUGGCAGCAGUGAGGAAUAUUGGUCAAUGGCCGGAAGGCUGAACCAGCCAUGCCGCGUGAAGGUCAGUGCCCUAUGGGCGUUAAACUUCUUUUGUUCGGGAGCAAAAAUUGUCACGUUUAGCCAGACGAGAGUUCCGUACGAAUAAGCAUCGGCUAACACCGUGCCAGCAGCCGCGGUAAUACGGGGGAUGCAAGCGUUAUCCCGAUUUAUUGGGUUUUAAGGGGGGGUAGGCUGUGAGGUAAGUCAGCGUGGAAAUGCCCCCGCUCAAAGGGGUGAAGUGCCAUUGAUACUGGCUUGCUGGAAUGCGGAUGCCGUGGGAGGAAUGUGUGGUGUAGCGGUGAAAUGCAUAGAUAUCACACAGAACACCGAUUGCGAAGGCAUCUCACGAAUCCGCGAUUGACGCUGAUGCACGAAAGCGUGGGUAUCAAACAGGAUUAGAUACCCUAGUAGUC
rnacentral:rRNA from 1 species